UAUAUAAAUAAUGAGUCCUAUUUCGGUAUAUCCCUAAAAAACACUCUCAUUUCCUUACCCUAAUUCACUGAGCGCCACCUCAUUCUAAUUCUCCAUCUCGUUGCAUUUGUUUUCAUUCUCUUCUCUCUAGCUCUACCCAUCACUCUCUGUCACAGAAACCACACCCCCAACCUUUCCUCUCUGAAUUUUUCUGCCAUAACUGCCGGAAUUCACCCAGACCUCCAUCUCUCAAUCUCAGAGCCCUCUCUCUCACAAUCACUGUCACAAACGGAUGCUUGCCUCAUAUCUCGUCGGUGACCUUCGUUCUCUCAAACUCAGAGCCAGUCACAGUCGCCCCUUUCCUCUCGAAUCUCAGCAGCAACAACAUAAAGCAUCUAAAUGGCUUAUUUUGGAGUGGAGUGCCUUAAUAAAAAAAUAUAUUGGAUGGAUAUAUUAAGUUUUUUGUAUCUUGGAUAUGUGUCUGCAUAUAAGAUAGUAGAAUUCAGUCAGAGGUUAA